rnacentral:rRNA from 1 species
UACAGAGACUGCAAGCGUUAUUCGGAUUCACUGGGCGUAAAGGGUGCGCAGGCGGCCGAGUGUGUGAGGCGUGAAAGCCCGGGGCUUAACCCCGGAAUUACACCUCAAACUACACGGCUAGAGCAUUGGAGAGGGUAGCAGAAUUCACGGUGUAGCAGUGAAAUGCGUAGGAUAUCGAUGAGGAAUACCAGAGGCGAAGGC